rnacentral:rRNA from 1 species
AUUGAACGCUGGCGGCAGGCCUAACACAUGCAAGUCGAGCGAGCGGCGGACGGGUGAGUAAUGUAUGGGAAACUGCCUGAUGGAGGGGGAUAACUACUGGAAACGGUAGCUAAUACCGCAUACCAUCAGAUGUGCCCAGAUGGGAUUAGCUAGUAGGUGGGGUAACGGCUCACCUAGGCGACGAUCCCUAGCUGGUCUGAGAGGAUGACCAGCCACACUGGACCUAAGACCCGGUCCAGACUCUGACGGGGGCCAGCAGUGGGGAAUAUUGCCCAAUGGGCGCAAGCCUGAUUCAGACAUGCCCCGUGUGUGAAGAAGGCCUUCGGGUUGUAAGGCCCUUUCAGCGGGGAGGCGUUACCCGCAGAAGAAGCACCGGCUAACUCCGUGCCAGCAGCCGCGGUAAUUC